UUUUCUUUAAUAAAAAAUUCCACUUGAAAUUCACAAGUUCCUGAACCCCCAUAUUCUUUAAGUUCAUAAUUUAGUUCUACGUAAACAAAACUCUCUUAAGAGAAACAGAUACCAGUGCAAAGUUAUGGCUACAUUUGUUAUACAGCUAAAAA